UACGGGGGGGGCAAGCGUUGUUCGGAAUUACUGGGCGUAAAGGGCUCGUAGGUGGCCAACUAAGUCAGACGUGAAAUCCCUCGGCUUAACCGGGGAACUGCGUCUGAUACUGGAUGGCUAGAGUUUGGGAGAGGGAUGCGGAAUUCCAGGUGUAGCGGUGAAAUGCGUAGAUAUCAGGAGGAACACCGGUGGCGAAGGCGGGUCUCUGGGCCGAUAUUGACGCUGGGGAGCGAAAGCGUGGGGAGCGAACAGG
rnacentral:rRNA from 1 species